rnacentral:rRNA from 1 species
UACGUAGGGGGCAAGCGUUGUCCGGAUUUAUUGGGCGUAAAGAGCGUGUAGGCGGCUUCACAGGUCCGCUGUGAAAACUCGAGGCUCAACCUCGAGACGUCGGUUGAAACCGUUUGGCUAGAGUCCGGAAGAGGAGAGUGGAAUUCCCGGUGUAGCGGUGAAAUGCGCAGAUAUCGGGAAGAACACCCGUGGCGAAGGCGGCUCUCUGGGACGGUACUGACGCUGAGACGGCGAAAGCGUGGGGAGCGAACAGG